rnacentral:rRNA from 1 species
AGGACGAACGCUGGCGGCGUGCUUAACACAUGCAAGUCGAGCGGAAAGGCCCUUCGGGGUACUCGAGCGGCGAACGGGUGAGUAACACGUGAGCAACCUGCCCCUGGCUCUGGGAUAGCCUCCGGAAACGGGGAUUAAUACCGGACAUGACCUGCUGCCGCAUGGUGGCGGGUGGAAAGUUUUUCGGCCAGGGUGGGGCUCGCGGCCUAUCAGCUUGUUGGGGGGGUGACGGCCCACCAAGGCGACGACGGGUAGCCGGCCUGAGAGGGCGACCGGCCACACUGGGACUGAGACACGGCCCAGACUCCUACGGGAGGCAGCAGUGGGGAAUAUUGCGCAAUGGGCGGAAGCCUGACGCAGCGACGCCGCGUGCGGGAUGAAGGCCUUCGGGUUGUAAACCGCUUUCACCAGGGGCGAAGCGAGAGUGACGGUACCGUGGGGAAGAAGCGCCGGCUAACGUACGCGCCAGCAGCCGC